GAUGAACGCUGGCGGCGUGCCUAAUACAUGCAAGUCGAGCGAACAGACGAGGAGCUUGCUCCUCUGACGUUAGCGGCGGACGGGUGAGUAACACGUGGAUAACCUACCUAUAAGACUGGGAUAACUUCGGGAAACCGGCGCUAAUCCCGGAUAAUAUAUUGAACCGCACGGUUCAAUAGUGAAAGACGGUUUUGCUGUCACUUAUAGAUGGAUCCGCGCCGCAUUAGCUAGUUGGUAAGGUAACGGCUUACCAAGGCAACGAUGCGUAGCCGACCUGAGAGGGUGAUCGGCCACACUGGAACUGAGACACGGUCCAGACUCCUACGGGAGGCAGCAGUAGGGAAUCUUCCGCAAUGGGCGAAAGCCUGACGGAGCAACGCCGCGUGAGUGAUGAAGGUCUUCGGAUCGUAAAACUCUGUUAUUAGGGAAGAACAAAUGUGUAAGUAACUAUGCACGUCUUGACGGUACCUAAUCAGAAAGCCACGGCUAACUACGUG
rnacentral:rRNA from 1 species